rnacentral:rRNA from 2 species
UGACCUCAAAUCAGGUAGGACUACCCGCUGAACUUAAGCAUAUCAAUAAGCCGGAGGA